UAGGGAAUCUUCCGCAAUGGGCGAAAGCCUGACGGAGCAACGCCGCGUGAGGGAUGAAGGUCUUCGGAUCGUAAAACUCUGUUAUUAGGGAAGAACAAAUGUGUAAGUAACUAUGCACGUCUUGACGGUACCUAAUCAGAAAGCCACGGCUAACUACGUGCCAGCAGCCGCGGUAAUACGUAGGUGGCAAGCGUUAUCCGGAAUUAUUGGGCGUAAAGCGCGCGUAGGCGGUUUUUUAAGUCUGAUGUGAAAGCCCACGGCUCAACCGUGGAGGGUCAUUGGAAACUGGAAAACUUGAGUGCAGAAGAGGAAAGUGGAAUUCCAUGUGUAGCGGUGAAAUGCGCAGAGAUAUGGAGGAACACCAGUGGCGAAGGCGACUUUCUGGUCUGUAACUGACGCUGAUGUGCGAAAGCGUGGGGAUCAAACAGG
rnacentral:rRNA from 1 species